CUUGAUCAGUGCUUCAGCAAAGUGUGUGUUUUGGCUAGACAACAACAGCUUCAAGUGUCGAUUGGACCAUAUCAUAUGCGAAUUUUUCCUUGACUGAGAAUUACGAGACAAAGAGACUACAAUGCACAGGCUGGCUGCUUAUGGAUUCGCACGCAUAGGAGUCUUAUAGAAACACGAUAUACAAUACAUUAAGAUUUGCGCAGAACGUAG